CUUGCUUAAACGAAGAGUUCUUUCGGACUUUGACACAGUAUCGCAAGUUAACACCAAGUUUGGAGGUCCAGUCUUCCUGAAUUUCAUCAUGUUCAUCAUCAAUUGCAAAAUUGAUCAAAUUUAGAUCCUCCUCUGAUGCAGCAUCUAGUGGAACAUCAUUGUAAUUAAAAGGGAUACCAAUAUCGUCCGCAACAGGUAUUGCAUUUGCCUUUAUCUUCUGAUAAUCUAACAAAUCAGAGGAAAAAAGUAAGAACUAAUUCAAGACUUCAACAAAGAAUCAAAUAUAAGAAAUGGUUGAACAUCAGAUAGCAGAAAAUAUUUACAGAUAAGGGACUUAGGUGUGUCAGAUACGGGUAUGAGUCCAACACGGAUAGGUUCAAUUUUUUAUAAAUUUCCAUCUAUUUGGAGGACCUUUAGAGGAUCAUAUCUCCAUACUUGUGUCAGAAUAUGAUUCAGAAAAAAAGGAUGCUAGGAAUGGGUACUCACCCCCCACAGGUUCGCUUUUCUUUUCUACUUUUUGACAGGUUGUUGAUAACAAUGGAAACGUAGCCUAAAUGUAGAUCAACUAAGUUGAUGUAUAGAAAAAUGGGGCAGACAGAAUUGAACUCGAUCUUACCUGAAUGGCAAAUUAUCAGCAUUUUUGCUCCACCUUUGGACCGCAAAAGCUCCUCAACUUGAACAGCAUGCUCCAGGCAGAAAAUCCGAGGUCUCAGAUAUUUAUUAGAGGUGUCCCAUCCAUCGGAAAACUUGGUUAUUGAUGGUAAUGCCGAAUGCUUGAAAGGAAGAGAUAGAUCCAGAACAUGAUUGAGAUUGUCUGCAGAAUAAAGCACUAGAUUAACUUAUCACUCAAGAUGCCCAAAAAAAUGGGGAAGCAAACUUCUCCUAUUCAAUUAAAUCCCUUCAAUUUCUUCCAUGAAAACUACUAUAGCAUCAUUGGCAAAUACCCCACUCUCUUCCAGGAACCUGAAUAUAGAGAAAAUCACAACACUUGCCAUCCAAGUCUGGAUAUGCAUUGGACAUCAAUGUUGGACAUGGGUACUUUAAGAAAAAUGAACAAGAGCAAUAUAGGUUCCAAGUUUUUAUGGCAACAGAUCUUUAAGUUACAGGACAAUAAUCCAACUACGUAUCUGACAAUUAGAGUGAAGAACAACAUGAAGUAAAAAAUGAAGUGAUGGUGAACACGAGAAACAGAAAAUUAGUAAAGGUCCCUUACCUGAAACUGAGCCCUCAACAGGGCAAGAAUGGGCAUUCUUAGGUACCAAGACUGUUGAACCUUGACUAGAAAGAUGAUCCACAGGUAGAAAUUCCACUGCUGCUCCCUCGGAUGGUUGUACCACAGACAUAAAUGGAUAACCCAGAAUUCCACAAGCAACACAAACCAAUGUCCC
rnacentral:lncRNA from 1 species